UGCGUAGGCGGGUUAUUAAGUCAGUGGUGAAAUCUCUCGGCUCAACCGAGAAACUGCCAUUGAAACUGAUAAUCUUGAGUAUAGUUGUAGUAGGCGGAAUAUAGCAUGUAGCGGUGAAAUGCUUAGAUAUGCUAUAGAACACCGAUCGCGAAGGCAGCUUACUAAACUAUUACUGACGCUCAUGCACGAAAGCGUGGGGAGCAAACAGGAUUAGAUACCCUGGUAGUCC
rnacentral:rRNA from 1 species